ACCUACGGGGGGCAGCAGUAGGGAAUCUUCCACAAUGGGCGAAAGCCUGAUGGAGCAACGCCGCGUGGGUGAAGAAGGUCUUCGGAUCGUAAAACCCUGUUGUUAGAGAAGAAAGUGCGUGAGAGUAACUGUUCACGUUUCGACGGUAUCUAACCAGAAAGCCACGGCUAACUACGUGCCAGCAGCCGCGGUAACACGUAGGUGGCAAGCGUUAUCCGGAUUUAUUGGGCGUAAAGGGAACGCAGGCGGUCUUUUAAGUCUGAUGUGAAAGCCUUCGGCUUAACCGGAGUCGUGCCUUGGAAACU
rnacentral:rRNA from 1 species